GGUUCCGGAGGGGGUGGGGGGGGGUGUGUGUGUGUGCGAUGUCUCGUCUCGUCUCAGAACGAGGUCAUAGACGGGAGAGGACGGAUAUCUCGUAGGUAUUGCACUUCAAGUGCCUGUUUGUACAGAGGCCACUUCCACAAGCCCGUGGGCUACAACUGUUUGCAGCGUGCCCACGACGAGAAGGACCUCCUCCACCCGCGGCUCAUGCUCGAGCACGGGCAGCUGAAGCAGCGGCCGCUCGUGUUCUCCGGGGUUGUGCAGGUCGAUUUGGGCAAACGCUUCUACGGACCCAAGGUUCUACCGCUUAGUAAUGUGUAGUCAUGUGUGUAGUCAUGUGUGCUUAGUAAGGACAGAUCCUCAUAGUACAAUUUUUAGGUAACCAACCAAAGAGAUUAGAUUGUUUAGCUACUCACUCACGUCUCAGCGCGCGGUAGCGCUUCAUGUAGGAGGCGUUCAUGCCCCCCUGUCGGCCGGACCUGGAGGAGCCUCUUUUGUCGCCUUAGCUUCUUAAUCGUUACCACCUGCACACCUGCCUCCACCUCCGGGUCGUCAUGAUGGGCCGGUAGAGCGGGCACCACAAGCUCACGUAGUAGUAAGGGAAGUAGUAGGGACCGCCACCGCGCCGCGGCUUGGUCUGGCAGCACCUGCUCUCGGACCUCGCCGACUCCCCACACGACCCCUAGAUGCUCCGGGCCGACCUCUUCUCGUCCAUGAACCGGCCCCUGAGGUAGUCGAAGCGGCUAGACUUGGUGUAGGGUAAGUGGAAGAUGAAGUACUGGUGAGGCAUGCGGUUCCACAAACUACUCAUGGGAUUCCACUUCCGGACCACCCUCUACGAGUACCGCUCUGGCCGCCACGUCUCCCAGACGUUCGUAUACGGAUGGCUCAAAUUCGAUGCACGCGCAUGAUCUACAAAUACGUGAGGCGCGCCCACACACGGCACGGCACGACCACUACUAGGGUGAGUUCUCUUCUCUGGAGGGAGGGCGCCCACCCACUAGUAGACGGGCAGAUGAAGGUCAUAUGGGAAAGUCAAAGUCGUCGUGCUCCUCAGGCGAACGCGAAGACGAGCACGCUCGGGCCUAAGGAACGAAAUUAAACACGUGAUCAUCAUUUAUUUGUUGCCUGACCAGUUACGACGAUUAGGCAUGCAGGAUAUAUCAUCAUGGGGUGAUCUCUAGUCUUACCUAGGUUUCGUUUAUAUAUAUAUAUGUGAUGUAGAACCUAUGCACACACACGUACCGAGAGACCGGCACUUUAGGAUCCUUUAUGCGGUUUGGUGGAAAGUUAGACGCGUAGGUAGUUAGAACCGCAGAGAGGUCUAAAGCAAAAGGUUUGGCGGCUGAAUCGUCAAAUAAAUAAAUAAUGUUCAGCGCUAACGGACGGUAAAAUUAAAGCGAGGCCUUUUUCUUAAUUUCCUGCACAAAGCCCAGGUAUGGUUGCUUGACAAAUCUUCUUUAACUCUCUCUUAACUCUCUUUCAUUUUAACUUGGUCGUCAGGUUUAGAAAUGACUACUACAGAUAAAUAUCACAAUGUUCGCUGCGCACGUUUGCUGCGCUGCCAACGAUAAUCGUCAAAUAAAUAAUAUUCAACGCUAACGGCAAAUUACAGCGAGGCCUUUCUCUUAAUUUCCUGCACCAAGCCCAGGUAUGCUUUGCUCGACAAAUCUUCUUUAGCUCUCUCCUAGUUCUCUUUCAUUUUUACUUGGUCGUCAGGUUUAGAAAUAACCACUACAGAUAAAUAUAACAAUGUUCGCUGCGCACGUUUGCUGUUCUGCCAACGAUAAUCGUCAAAUAAAUAAUGUCCAACACUAACGGCAAAUUAAAGGGAGGUCUUUCUCUUUAUUCCUGCACAAAGCCCAGGUAUGACUGCUUAUCAAAGCUUCUUUAGCUCUCUCCUAGCUCUCUUUCAUUUUUGUGAUCAUCUUUUGUACCGAAACCAGAUCCGGUCCAUUCGGGUAAUUAGGGCCAAGUGAGUGCUUGGCCUUGGGUACCCCGUAGCCAGGACGAAACACUCCGGUCCCCCCGCCGGCCCGGAGCCCCAGUAACCAGGGCCAAACAGACCGGGGAAACCAGGGCCAAGGUCUGUGCUUGGUCCUGGUUACCCGGAGCGAGGACCGGGUAUUGGUAACUAGGGUCAACCACUGACCUUAGCCCUGGUUUACUCCAGGAAAUCAGGACCAAGAUCGGUGUUUGGCCAUAAUUUCUCUUCGGAUAUAUAUCACGGGCGCGCGAGUCGAGUCGAGUGACGAGACAAAAAACCCUCUCCACACACUCUCCACACAACACGAGAUCGAGUGGAAGAUACUUGUACUCCACAAGCUACUUUACGUACUCGGUGUGAAUUCGAAAGAGGAGAGCUUCGAGGAACAGGUUCGAGGUAAAAGGAGUUCUAAACAGAUCAAAACCACUAGGCAGGACAGGGCAGGGGCAGUGGUAGCAACUAGCGGGCGCGGCUAGAGCAGCGACCGUGGUGGCACCAAUCGGAGAAGAAGAAUAGAAGAAAAAUUUUCUUUUUUCAAGAAUGAACAUACUAAAUCUAUCUAUGAACACAUUAAAAGAAUGAAAAUAAUAACAAACAAUAAUAUAUCACGCUACCAAAACCAUAGGCGGAGGCAGCCGGGAGCAGGACUGAUACUAAGCCUACACAAUAUAAUAGAAAAUAUUGAUAAAUAAAGUAAAUCACAAAUACUGAUGAUACAACUGGUUGCACUGUAUCUAAAAAAAUAGAUCCUCCAUACACUUGGCUUUUAAGAUUGGCUGGGAUAACAGCUCUCCAAUUGAAAUCAACUUCUUCUUUUGUUAAUGAACUUCCUUUUAAAAAUUUUUACUCUUCCUCUUCUACUAUACCCUCAACGUACAACGCCUACAGCAGCUAUUAGUGUUCUAGUUCUACCUACGUUACGCGAACUUCUAAUCUUUCUAAUCUUUUAUACAGUAAGUAUGACUCCGAACCAUAGUAA
rnacentral:rRNA from 1 species